CACUCCAAACAGCUAGCCCACCCCCAUAAAACCAACAAACGACAUUAAUACCCCCUAAACCCGGAAUAUACAACCAAUAAAACAUUUUACCUCCCAAGUAUGGGCGACAGAAAAGGACAUUAGGCGCUAUAGAGACAGUACCGCAAGGGAAAGCUGAAAGAGAAAUGAAAUAACCCAGUAAAGAGUAUUAAAGCAGAGAUAAUCCCUCGUACCUUUUGCAUCAUGAUUUAGCCAGAAACCCUCAAGCAAAGAGACCUAUAGUUUGAGCCCCCGAAACUGAGCGAGCUACUUCAAGACAGCCUAUUAUUAGGGCAAACCCGUCUCUGUGGCAAAAGAGUGGGAAGAUCUUUGAGUAGAGGUGACAGACCUACCGAGCACAGUUAUAGCUGGUUGCCCAUAAAAUGAAUAGAAGUUCAGCCUUUAAUAUUCUUAAAUCAAAAAGGUUUAUACUUUAACUGAUAAAAAGAAGAUUAAAGAGUUAUUCAGGAGGGGGACAGCCCCCCUGAAAAAAGACACAACUUUACAAGCAGGUCAAAGAUCAAAACAUCCAAGGCAUCAUACCUUAGUGGGCCUAAAAGCAGCCACCUAAUAGAAAGCGUUAAAGCUCAAGCACUUGCCCCUCCCUAAUCCCGACCAUUUUAUCUUAAACCGCUUCACCACCUAGUGGGCCAUUCCAUGUAAACAUGGAAGAGAUACUGCUAAUAUGAGUAAUAAGAGGUUCGCCCCUCUCCUUUCACCUGUUUACAUCAGAACGAACUAACACUGAACAUUAACGUCCCCAAAACAAAGAGGGAGCUGAGAAAAAACACUAUAAACUAGAAAACCACUCAAACCCACAACGUUAACCCCACACAGGUGUGACCAAGGAAAGACUAAAAGAAAAAGAAGGAACUCGGCAAACACUGGCCUCGCCUGUUUACCAAAAACAUCGCCUCUUGCAACAAUUUAACCGUAUAAGAGGUCCCGCCUGCCCUGUGACUUAAAAAGUUUAACGGCCGCGGUAUUUUGACCGUGCGAAGGUAGCGUAAUCACUUGUCUUUUAAAUGAAGACCUGUAUGAAUGGCAUAACGAGGGCCAAGCUGUCUCCUUUUUCCAGUCAAUGAAAUUGAUCUUCCCGUGCAGAAGCGGGAAUACCACCAUAAGACGAGAAGACCCCGUGGAGCUUAAGACAAAAGGCAGCCCACAUACAAUAACUGGCUUAACAGAAUUAAUUACAUGGACCCUGCCCCCAUGUCUUUGGUUGGGGCGACCGAGGGGUAACACACAACCCCCAUGUGGAACAGGAGCAGCCUCCUUAAAGCCAGAGCCACAGCUCUAACAAGCAGAAUAUCUGACCUAAAGAUCCGGCAAAGCCGAUCAACGGACCAAGUUACCCCGGGGAUAACAGCGCAAUCCUCUUUUAGAGCCCAUAUCGACAAGGGGGUUUACGACCUCGAUGUUGGAUCAGGACAUCCUAAUGGUGCAGCCGCUUUUAAGGGUUCGUUUGUUCAACGAUUAAAGUCCUACGUGAUCUGAGUUCAGACCGGAGAAAUCCAGGUCAGUUUCUAUCUAUGAAUGCUCUUCUCUAGUACGAAAGGACCGAAAAGAGGAGGCCCAUGCUUUAAGUAAGCCUCUUUCUAAUCUAAUGAAAUCAACUAAAUUAGAUAAAAGAACAAACUCAUACCACCUGAGAUAAAGGUAC
rnacentral:rRNA from 1 species